CUUCUUCGGGGAUCGGUGAAAUUCCGUACCGGCGGUAAAGCCCGCGAGCAGUUUAUCUGCUGAUUUGGUGAGAUUCCAAAGCCGACAGUCAAAGUCUGGAUGAUAGAAGAA
rnacentral:ncRNA from 1 species